CUAGUUCUGAAAACUCUGAAAGCCCAAAGAAACUCAAGCACUGUGAUGAAAACAGCAAGUCACAAGAAAAUGAAAAUGCUUCCGGUGAGAAAGCAGAAGUCCAUUCAGCGAAGAAUGUAGUCAUGCAUUGCCCAUCAGCUGCUGUAUGUGUUGGCAUCUUGCCUGGCCUUGGAGCCUACUCAGAAAGUAGUGACUCUGAUUCCAGUUCAGAUGGGGAAGCUAUUCUCGCCUCCGCAGGAAAAAUUGUUUCUUCUGUUUUUCGUAGCACUACUUUUCUGGAGGCCCCAUGAAGAUAAUUGUUUUUAUGCCCCUUGUCCAUCCUGCAGAAACUGACCUUUAUUUAUUCUUAAUGAAUGUGGUCACAUUGUUUUAUUAUACUCCGUAGAGGAAAAUAUUCAAAAAGUAUAGUUUUCUCAAAUUAAGACACUGUGACAAACUCAUUCUUUUUACUGUUGUUGCAAGCAUCUUGCCAAAUAUCUUACCUUCUUCAAGAGUAUGUCAGAAUCAAAUUAAAUAGUAUCUAAUUUUUUGAGCUUAGAGUGCAACUUCCAGUGUAUUACCACAUUCGCACCAUCAUUAUCCACCUGAAAACAAUAGUAUUACUUUUUAUAGAAGACGCGCUGUAAAAGCAUUCUUCACAAUUCUGUUUAUAGAAAGGAUGAUGUGAAGGUUCAGCCAGGUUGCUAUGUGAAUGGAGAACUCUAAGCAUCAACUGUAAGAAGCUAUUAAUAGGUCUGAAGUCAUUCACAAAUGGCAGUUUAACAGUUUUAAAUAUAACAUCGUGCAUAAAAAUGCAGAACUUGUUUUCUUAAUUACUUGGUAACACAUUGCGUAAUAUUACUUAAUGGUGUUAUUUACUGCUCAAAGAUCCUGAGUUUGAUCUUGACCUGCAGUUAUUGCCUGUACAGAGCUCUUCCUCUACCCAAGUAGGUUUCUGCCUAUCUCCCAAAGAAAUGAUUGCUGAUUGGCUACUCCAAAUUGCCCAUACAGAUAGUCCUUGAACCUUGUAGGCUGUGAUGUGGCUAGAAAAAAACACUUAGUUUUUAGAUAUGCAGCCUGAUCACUAUUAAAAAUAAAUAAGUACUGUUAAGAUUCAUUCUCUAAUAGCGCAUUUAUUUGUUUACGUACUAUCCCUUUAAGACUCUUGAAUGUGUUAUCUGAUUGAGAAACAUUUUCUGUGUUUUGAAAAUUUGAACCUUUACAGGCAGCUCUUGAUGUACACAUUUGCUCCUUCAGUAGUUAUCCUGGUCUUUAAAAUUACCAUAAAUAUUUUUUUUAUUCAUCAUUGAAACAUUGGAAGACUAUUUAAAAUUAAAUGUCCUUCUUUUUGUAAAAUGAUACUUAUUGUUUGCUCUAUAUUACUUGGAGUAAUGGAAAUGAGUGCAAAAUAAAAAUAUUUUUUCUUUUUA